CAGUGAGACACAGAAGCCCUUUCGCUUCCUUCCGUUCCACCACUGACCGGGGGUUGUGUUGUUGAUGUCGGGGAGGACACUCUAGCUGGUGCUUCUCGCUGUAAGCGAGUGCGUUGACUCGUACAGUCUCUCCUGCUGUAAUUGCUCGUGGCUCGGCUUGUGGCUGGAGCACUGAAGUCCUCCGAGUAGUGCGCGAAGCGUGUGCAAGCUUCUGCUACGGAGAUCUUUGCGCCAUCACGAUUCAGAUUGAGGCUACGUGCGCAGUAUAACCACUCGGGCGGGGAGUGACCAGCAACUAGGGUGACUCCGCGGCAUCACAGGCUGCUGCUCUGUUUGGGAACAUAGUCCCCUUUUGGGUUACUGCUUUCCACUGGCGCAACAGGUCGUGGGCUACUGUGGUCGGGUUCUAUCGACGCAGCGCAGACCCCCAGCAAUGCGCACUCUCACCUGCUGACUACCUGCACUCGCGGCAACACCGCUGACCGCAUAGGCUAUUUUGUGUUUAAGUUUUGAUUUGAUUUAUUUUGUGGUUGCAUAGGUGGCAAUGUGCAACACCCCUAUUUUGUGAUUAUUUUGUGGACGUGGGGUAUUCGUGAGAGGCAUACCCCUCACAUGUUUCUGCUGUGUUAUUUCUGUUGUCUUACCAAAUUCAACUGAAGACAUUCUGUUUUAUUUGGUUUUUGUUUCUUUUUUUUUGUUUUCUAUUAGUUGGGUUGAUUAAUUUUGUUGGACCUGACCUGACUGGGUCUUCUGAGGUCUGUUCCCUCAGAUUGCAGCAGCCUAACUGCAUUGGGGGGACUGGCUUCUCCAGUCCCAGUGGGUCUCUGUCUGUCUGUCUGUGUGUGUGUGGUGUGUGCGUGUGGUGUCUCUGUG